AACGAACGCUGGCGGCAGGCUUAACACAUGCAAGUCGAGCGCCCCGCAAGGGGAGCGGCAGACGGGUGAGUGACGCGUGGGAACGUACCUUUUGGUUCGGAACAACUCCGGGAAACUGGAGCUAAUACCGGAUAAGCCCUAACGGGGAAAGAUUUAUCGCCGAAAGAUCGGCCCGCGUCUGAUUAGCUAGUUGGUGAGGUAACGGCUCACCAAGGCGACGAUCAGUAGCUGGUCUGAGAGGAUGAUCAGCCACACUGGGACUGAGACACGGCCCAGACUCCUACGGGAGGCAGCAGUGGGGAAUAUUGGACAAUGGGCGCAAGCCUGAUCCAGCCAUGCCGCGUGAGUGAUGAAGGCCUUAGGGUUGUAAAGCUCUUUUGUCCGGGAAGAUAAUGACUGUACCGGAAGAAUAAGCCCCGGCCAACUUCGUG
rnacentral:rRNA from 1 species